rnacentral:rRNA from 1 species
UACGAAGGGGGCUAGCGUUGUUCGGAUUUACUGGGCGUAAAGCGCACGUAGGCGGAUCGUUAAGUUAGGGGUGAAAUCCUGGAGCUCAACUCCAGAACUGCCUUUAAUACUGGCGAUCUCGAGUCCGGAAGAGGUGAGUGGAACUCCUAGUGUAGAGGUGGAAUUCGUAGAUAUUAGGAAGAACACCAGUGGCGAAGGCGGCUCACUGGUCCGGUACUGACGCUGAGGUGCGAAAGCGUGGGGAGCAAACAGG